CUUACGCUAGAAAUGUCACUUUUUCAUUCAAUAGGUUACGUUUCCCAGAGUUUGGAAAUGAAAAACAUUUUAAUUAAUAUUUUCAAUUAACAACCUCUAAUUGAUCAGUGAAACUAAUGAAUGAUGGCUAAAAUUAAGCUGAAUAUAUGGAAUCACGACAAUUCAGAGGAGAGAUUGCUCCUCGGGCCAACUGUGGAAAUAAUGAAUGACGAACUGUGGAGAGCUCAACCCGAGUUUACAGAGUACAACUACUCUCUUCACAUAUCACUAAUAUCACCUGAAAAGAAACCGAAAUCAGAAAGAAAUGUUCGAGAGACCCCUCAGCAGCCCCAGGAUGGAUAUUUAUAACCAGGAACCUUAGAACAUCAAGCUCAGUGUAUGAAAUGACUGCAUCUUCUGAUCAAUUAACAACUUACGUAGAGAACGAGCGAAAAAUUUAUUUAUUCUUUAGGUGAACGCGAUCAACGUGAAUCGGACAAAUUUAAUUGAGAAAAUUAUUCAUAUAAUAAUUUUGGUGAAUGAAUAAUUAGCUUGCUAUGUAAUUCUUUCUGGAAGAAAUAUAAGAAUACUUGUUUAGUAGAAAUUAUCAUCA